rnacentral:rRNA from 1 species
UACGGGGUGCAGCAGGCGCGAAAACUUUACAAUGCUGGCAACAGCGAUAAGGGAACCUCGAGUGCCAGGUUACAAAUCUGGCUGUCGAGAUGCCUAAAAAGCAUUUCAUAGCAAGGGCCGGGCAAGACCGGUGCCAGCCGCCGCGGUAACACCGGCGGCUCGAGUGGUAACCGUUAUUAUUGGGUCUAAAGGGUCUGUAGCCGGCCGGAUAAGUCUCCUGAGAAAUCUGGCAGCUUAACUGUCAGGCUUUCAGGAGAUACUGUCUGGCUCGAGGCCGGGAGAGGUGAGAGGUACUUCAGGGGUAGGGGUGAAAUCUUGUAAUCCUUGAAGGACCACCAGUGGCGAAGGCGUCUCACCAGAACGGACCUGACGGCAAGGGACGAAAGCUAGGGGCACGAACCGGAUUAGAUACCCGGGUAGUCCUAGCCGUAAACGAUACUCGCUAGGUGUCGGCCACGGUGCGACCGUUGUCGGUGCCGUAGGGAAGCCGUGAAGCGAGCCACCUGGGAAGUACGGCCGCAAGGCUGAAACUUAAAGGAAUUGGCGGGGGAGCACCACAACGGGUGGAGCUUGCGGUUUAAUUGGAUUCAACGCCGGAAAUCUUA